rnacentral:lncRNA from 10 species
CCGCCUCCCAGGUUCAAGUGAUUCUUCUGCCUCAGCCUCCUAAGUAGCUGGGACUACAGAUGUGCACUGCCACGCCCAGCUAACUUUUGCAUUUUUAGUAGAGAUGGGGUUUCAUUGCCAUGUUGGCCAGGCUGGUCUUGAACUCCUGACCUCAGGUGAUCCACAUACCUUGGCCUCCCAAAGUGCUGGGAUUAUAGGCAUGAGCCACUGUGGCCAGCCAGAAACCCAUUCUUCUAAGAGAAAAAUUCAUUCUUCUGUUGAUGAAUACUUGGGUUGUUUUUAGUGUUGGCAAUUGAUAUAGUUUGGCUCUGUGUCCCCACCCAAAUCUCAUCUUGAAUUGUAAUCCCCAUGUGUCGAGGGAGGGAGGUGACUGGAUCAUGGGGGUGGUUUUCCCCAUGCUGUUCUCGUGAGAGUGAGUGAGUUCUCAUGAGAUCUGAUGGUUUUAUAAGCGUCUGGCAUUUCCCCUGCUUGCACUUCUCUCUCCUGCCACCAUGUGAAGAAGGUCCCUACUUCCCUUUCAACUUAUGCCACGAUUGUUAAGUUUCCUGAGGCCUUCCAGUCAUGUGGAACAGUGGAGCCUAAUGGGAAGUGUCUGGGUGAUGGAGGUGGAUUCCUCUUGAAUGGCUUGGUGCUGUCCUCAUGGUAAUGAAUUCUCACUCUAUUAGUUGGCAGAAGUUUCCUUCACAGCUGACUGUUUAGAGGAGCCUGGUACCUCUCUUCCCCUCUCUUGCUUCCUGUCUCACCAAGUGAUGUCUGCCUACACCAGCUCCCCUUUGCCUUUGCCAAGAGUGAUAGAGGCCGGAGGUCCUCACCAGAGCAGAUGCUGGUGUCAUGCUUCUUGUACAGCUUGUAAAACCAUAAGCCAAAUAAAG